rnacentral:tRNA from 1 species
GCACUAGUAGCUCAGUAUUAGAGCGCCGACCUUGUAAGCCGGACGCCGGGAGUUAAAAUCUCCCCUUUUGCU